rnacentral:rRNA from 1 species
GGCCGGGCGACGGUUGUCCCGGUUUAAGCGUGUAGGUGUGUGUUCCAGGUAAAUCCGGUUCACUUUAACACUGAGGCGUGAUGACGAGGCACUACGGUGCUGAAGCAACAAAUGCCCUGCUUCCAGGAAAAGCCUCUAAGCAUCAGGUAACAUCAAAUCGUACCCCAAACCGACACAGGUGGUCAGGUAGAGAAUACCAAGGCGCUUGAGAGAACUCGGGUGAAGGAACUAGGCAAAAUGGUGCCGUAACUUCGGGAGAAGGCACGCUGACACGUAGGUGAAGUGAUUUACUCAUGGAGCUGAAGUCAGUCGAAGAUACCAGCUGGCUGCAACUGUUUAUUAAAAACACAGCACUGUGCAAACACGAAAGUGGACGUAUACGGUGUGACGCCUGCCCGGUGCCGGAAGGUUAAUUGAUGGGGUCAGCGCAAGCGAAGCUCCUGAUCGAAGCCCCGGUAAACGGCGGCCGUAACUAUAACGGUCCUAAGGUAGCGAAAUUCCUUGUCGGGUAAGUUCCGACCUGCACGAAUGGCGUAAUGAUGGCCAGGCUGUCUCCACCCGAGACUCAGUGAAAUUGAACUCGCUGUGAAGAUGCAGUGUACCCGCGGCAAGACGGAAAGACCCCGUGAACCUUUACUAUAGCUUGACACUGAACAUUGAGCCUUGAUGUGUAGGAUAGGUGGGAGGCUUUGAAGUGUGGACGCCAGUCUGCAUGGAGCCGACCUUGAAAUACCACCCUUUAAUGUUUGAUGUUCUAACGUGGACCCGUGAUCCGGGUUGCGGACAGUGUCUGGUGGGUAGUUUGACUGGGGCGGUCUCCUCCUAAAGAGUAACGGAGGAGCACGAAGGUUGGCUAAUCCUGGUCGGACAUCAGGAGGUUAGUGCAAUGGCAUAAGCCAGCUUGACUGCGAGCGUGACGGCGCGAGCAGGUGCGAAAGCAGGUCAUAGUGAUCCGGUGGUUCUGAAUGGAAGGGCCAUCGCUCAACGGAUAAAAGGUACUCCGGGGAUAACAGGCUGAUACCGCCCAAGAGUUCAUAUCGACGGCGGUGUUUGGCACCUCGAUGUCGGCUCAUCACAUCCUGGGGCUGAAGUAGGUCCCAAGGGUAUGGCUGUUCGCCAUUUAAAGUGGUACGCGAGCUGGGUUUAGAACGUCGUGAGACAGUUCGGUCCCUAUCUGCCGUGGGCGCUGGAGAACUGAGGGGGGCUGCUCCUAGUACGAGAGGACCGGAGUGGACGCAUCACUGGUGUUCGGGUUGUCAUGCCAAUGGCACUGCCCGGUAGCUAAAUGCGGAAGAGAUAAGUGCUGAAAGCAUCUAAGCACGAAACUUGCCCCGA